rnacentral:rRNA from 1 species
UGAAGAAUUUGUCCAACGGCGGGGGAUAGCCGGCCCAACGGCCGGGUAAUACCGCGUACGACCACUUUGGGACAUCCCUCGGUGGUGAAAGCAGCAAUGCGCCGAUGGAGUGCCUCGCGGCCUAUCAGCUAGUUGGUGAGGUAACGGCUCAACCCGAGCGACGACGGUAG